CCUACGGGUGACAGCAGUGAGGAAUAUUGGGCAAUGGACGAGAGUCUGAACCAGCCAAGUAGCGUGAAGGAUGACUGCCCUAUGGGUGGUAAACUUCUUUUAUAAAGGAAUAAAACGGGGCACGUGUGCAUUUUACCAUGUACUUGAUGCUUAAGGAUCGGCUAACUCCGUGCCCGCAGCCGCGGUAAUAGGGAGGAUUCGAGCGUUAGCCGGAUUUAUUGGGUUUAAAGGGAGCGUAGAUGGGUUGUUAAGUCAGUUGUGAAAGUUUGCGGCUCAAGCGUAAGAUUGCAAUUGAUACUGGCAGUCGUGAGUACAGGUGAGGUAGGCGGAAUUCGUGGUGUAGCGGUGAAAUGCUUAGAUAUCACGAAGAACCCCGAUUGCGAAGGCAGCUUACUAACCUGUGACUGACAUUGAGGCUCGAAAGUGUGGGUAUCAAACAGGAUUAGAUACCCUAGUAGUC
rnacentral:rRNA from 1 species